rnacentral:rRNA from 1 species
GCAAGGCCUUGCGUCGAUGGAGCGGCCGAUGUCGGAUUAGCUAGUUGGUGGGGUAAAGGCUCACCAAGGCGACGAUCCGUAGCUGGUCUGAGAGGACGACCAGCCCACACUGGGACUGAGACACGGCCCAGACUCCUACGGGAGGCAGCAGUGGGGAAUCUUGGACAAUGGGCGCAAGCCUGAUCCAGCAAUGCCGCGUGUGGGAAGAAGGCCUUCGGGUUGUAAACCACUUUUGGCAGGAAAGAAAUCGUCCGUGCUAAUACCAUGGAUGGAUGACGGUACCUGCAGAAUAAGCACCGGCUAACUACGUG